rnacentral:rRNA from 1 species
AACGUAGGUGGCAAGCGUUAUCCGGAUUUACUGGGCGUAAAGCGUGUGCAGGCGGGUGGACAAGUGGUGUAUGAAAUCGCCAGGCUAAACCUGGCGGGGUUAUGCCAGACUGUCCGUCUGGAGUGCGAGAGAGGGGCGUGGAAUUCCGGGUGUAGUGGUGAAAUGCGUAGAGAUCCGGAGGAACCCCAGAGGCGAAGGCGGCGCCCUGGCUCGCAACUGACGCUCAGACACGACAGCAUGGGGAGCGGAACGGG